CCUGCUCCUAUUAGAAGCAUAGAAUCUGCCUGCAAUGAGAGUUCCGGGUUCGAUUCCUGAGUUGGGAAGAUCCCCUGGAGAAGGUCCUCCUGGACAAUACAGGGGCAUUCACCCAGGGGGCCCGCUGACCACAAAAAGUUGAUACAGAACCUUCUGUGGGCGGCCCCAGGAAAACAGGUCUUCCAUCGCAGCCUCAAGGGAUGCUCAUUUAAAAGACAGUUUGGGGGAACAGUCUGUGCAUUCGAGCUUCGGCGCAUGAGGCAGGUUACUCCGGCUCUCCUUGUUCACUUCCAUUCUGUUGGUCUCAGUCCCCCAUUUCACCUGCUGAGGUUCCUGGAAAUGCUGUGUUCUCACGGGGGUGUUGCCACUGGCACGUCUGAGAAGCAAGCCUCCCGGGGCUCAUGCAGAUGCUUGAUUGAAACGAGCCGAGCAGAAGGCAGAGUCCUGUGGCCCACCUUUAGAGACCCUCUCACAUCAGACCACACCGAUUUACAGGCACGCUUUGCCCCCAGGUCACUGCGUCCGGGGAGUUUCGGCUGCCCUCCUCUCCAGCCUGCAUCCUCCAUUCCGCCGAAAGGACACUGCGUCCGGGGAGUUUCGGCUGCCCUCCUCUCCAGCCUGCAUCCUCCAUUCCACCGAAAGGACAGCGUGAAGAGCUUGCCUCCAUACCCGCCCUUACCUGUCACACCUCCACCCUUGGGACACAGGGUUCCCCGUGCCUCGGAUGCCCUGUCCCUCUUCCUCACCUGGCUGACUCCCACACUGCCUGGACACGGGUGGCUCCCUGGAACGUGAGAUGAGACGGUUCUAGAGUCCCAGGGCUCCCGGACCUGGGUUCCAGCGCAGCCCUGCCUCCCACCCGCUGUGUGGCCAGAACCAUCACUUCAUCUCAUCUGUGGGUGGGACAGCAAUAACGCCUGCCCCGCAGGGCUAUGGUGGAGACAGGAGACAUGGGAAGGUGGAGACACAGGGUCUCAACAAGGGCUCAAUCUGGGACAAGUCUGGUUUUCUUAUCAAUUGACGCAAGAUAAAGCAUGUACAGCCCUGGCUCCCCCCGGGGACACACUGCCCCUUCUCUGACUCUGAUGGACGCAGAAGUGGGACCUGCCUUCUCUUCUCCUCCCCCCAUGUCUCCAUCCUGGAACCCGAGGAGAUAGGGCAGGUGGCAGCUGGAGCAGCCAGCCUAUAAGUGCAAGUUGUUCACAGAACUGCUGGCCUGUGUCAGCCACCUGACUCCCUUCCUACCCAGUUCACGCAACCAUGAACAGGGCCCCCUUUUCUUAACCCUAGGAGCCUAGUUCACUAUGCAGAGGGGGCCAGAUUCAGAAUCCCGCACUGGCCUUGGGCCCCCCUCUAUGGCCCGAAGCAAGCCCCUAGCCUCCCUGUGCCUCAGUCUUCCUAUCUCUAAAAUGGGUGUGUGUGCUAAGUCGCUUCAGUCAUGUCCAGCUCUUUGCGACUGUAUGGACUGUAGCCCUCCAGGCUCCUCUGUCCAUGGGGAUUCUCCAGGCAAGAAUACUGGACUGGGUUGCCAUGACCUCCUCCAGGGGAUCUUCCUAACCCAGGGGUCAAACCUGCAUCUCCAGCAUUGCAGGCAGAUUCUUUACAGCUGAGCCACCAAGGAAGCC
ensembl:lncRNA